GCAUUGCUGGACCAAAAUGUGGAGUACAGAGGGGCAUACCUGACAGCAUUGGUUGAGGUUAUGACCCCAAAGGAAAACAGUCUGGCCCUGCCUCAUCCCUCUCUCCUAGGCUUUGAGGAGGCAUGGCUGCAGGAGUGUGUGGAGAUUCUGUUUAGUGAUCUGGAGGCAGAGAGAGGAGGACCAGGGCUGAUCUCCACAGUUUUGUGUGUAGUUAGUGUGCUACUCUCCCAAAGUGUGGACUUGUUUUUGCUCCUUGCUCAAGUUAUUGGAGAAGCACAGAUGUCCUGAAGCUCCUGAGGCUCUCAGAACAGCUUGCACUCAUGCUCUCUGUCUGUGCGGGGUCUCCAUGGUGACCAGGAGCUUGACGGGCCACUUCACGCUCAAAGAGCACAGUAUCAGACCUGAAAAAGGCAAGAGGUUUACCAUCAUUUGCUGAGGGGUUGUGCAUGCCACCGUACACAAACACACAGAAAGAUUGAUCAACACAGGCUUCUACCUGCUUCAGGAUGAGAGUCCACAGGUGAAUUAGGCUCUGCGCUCACUGCUGGACCUGCUCUUGGAAGAAUUCUGGGAUACCAGCGGUGCUUUGGAGUCCUUGGUAUGCCACCUGCCUGACUGUGAUCUGAAUAUCAUUCUGCAGGAGGCCAAAGAGACACACUACAUCUUCUCAGGUUUCCACUGCAGGGGUAAAUGCAUCAAACAGUGAUGUAAUGGCUUUUGCAGCAACAGUAGAGUUGGAGUAACAGCAGGGGAAUACUGCCAGUUUUGUGCCACAUUAAAGGCACAUCUCCCAGGUUAAGUGUCCAUUUUGUGUCCUUAGCAUUGGACUGUGAUGAUUCAUUGCCUGAAUAUGUGCUCAGUUGCUGUGCAACACCCCUGUGUAUCUCAGGACGCAGUGGAAGGACACAGCUGGGUUUCCCAGUAGCCAUCAGUGGAGCAGAUGGCCUGGGUUCACAACAAAUACUAAAAGCACUCCUAUCUUGUCCCUUCAAUUGUAUUGUUAAUUACUUAUUGACAAUUUAUUUUUAUUUAUUUUUUUAUCCAGAUGACAUUCGGGUGGGUUUUUCAUUUUAUUUUAAAAUGUAUGAAAUCUGAAAAAAUAAAUACAUCUGGAUUAAAAUAUUAAGGCCAAUCACCAUUUAUUAUUAUUAUUUUAUCCUUUUUUUUUUUCAGUUUGUUUUCACAUAAAAAAAAAAUUAUUUGAUCUUUUUUAUUUUUUUAUUACACUUCUCUAGUUUUUGUACAAUACUUGUAUACUCAAAGUUGUGGCACUGCUAAUAUUUUUAACUUCUGUAUUAUAAAUUGCUUGUUUUUCCUCAUUUGUAAGGCCAUUUUAUCCUUAUUUAAUAAAACAUAAGUAGAAAAAUGUUUUGUUUUUUUUUUUGUUUUUUUUUAAGUAAAUAUUAUGUGCCUUGUAUUCUGAGAAAACCAUUCUAAAUUCAAACAUAAAUUGGCUUUUUAAAGCAUGUUUAACGUUUAUACUGCAGGUAUAAUUUAAUCUUUGCUCGCCACUUAAAAAUUAGCUCAUAUUUUCCAAAUGGGUUAUAAAUGGGCUGUUUCUGUUUCUUUCUUUCUUUAAACUAUAUUAAAUGAGAGUUGUUUAACGUGAGACAUCUGUGUGUGCAAAAUAAAUGUAUGGAAGUUUUUUUACAGGGCCCGAUAGAUUUGUUUGUCUUUGCUUUUUCCACGCUUUAACUGCUGUCUUCUCUAUACAAACCCAAGUUACACCUUCUGUUUACUUCAAACAGAGAGCUGAAGGAUUGACCUAAGAAAUCACAAGGUUAUCCACCACAGUUUUACAACCUGUUUGACAACAUAGAUCCAUUACAAUAAUAAAUCUUUGGAGAUAGAACAUAACGCAAAUGAUGGAUUGUUAAUUUUUUUUUUUCUUUUUCUUUGUACUGUUUAAAUCUGUGUAUACAUAUACACUCACUGAGCACUUUAUUAGGAACACUACGGUCCUAAUAAAGUGCCCAAUGUGGUCUUCUGCUGUUGUAGCCCAUCCACCUUAAAGUUUGACGUGUUGUGCAUUCUGAGAUGCUAUUCUGCUCACUAUACUUGUACAGUGGUUAUCUGAGUUACCGUAGCCUUUCUGUUAGCUUGAACAAGUCUGGCCAUUCUCUGUUGACCUCUCUCAUCAACAAGGCAUUUCCAUCCAUAGAACUGCUGCUCACUGUAUGUUUUUCGUUUUUGGCACCAUUCUGAGUAAACCCUAGAGACUGUUAUGCAUGAAAAUCCCAGGAGAACUAAACCAGCCCAUCUGGCACCAACAAUAUUUUUUUCAAAUCAAACAUUUUUCCACAUUCCCACAUGAUGGUUGAUGUGAACAUUAACUGAAGGUCCUGACCCAUAUCUGCAUGAUUUUAUGCAUUGCACUGCUGCCACAUGAUUGGCUGAUUAGAUAAUUGCAUGAAUAUGUAGGUGUACAGGUGUUCCUAAGAAAGUGGUCAGUGAGUGUACAUACUGUAAGCUGCACUAUUGAUUGUGGCCACGUUGUAUUAUAUUUGAGCUAUCAAAUAAUUUUGUGAAUCCUCAGAGAGGAUAACAGAACAGCUUUCCUUACCUGAUGGAACAAACUUGAGUAAUGACUGUGAAUAAAAACGCUACCAGCAUAAUCAAUGAACUUUAACACAAAGAGCCACAGAUUUUUGCAGCUCUCAGUCCUGUCAACUGAAGCCAUUGGAUGUCUUGAGUUCUCCCACACUCAUAAAAACUUCUAAGCCCAUAUGGCUGCAGUUUUACAUUGGGAACUUUGUGUAACUUAUUUGGAAAACUAAAGUGGGUCAUUUAACCUGGCAGGAGAAUCACAGAAAGGAAGCACACAAUCUGGCCUAAUUAAACUUGAUUGUUUUCUUCCACCUUUCAAGAUGCCAUAAAAAAUGUAACAUAAUUUUAAAAUUAAUAUCUAUGUGAUACACGUAAAUGCAUCGUACUUAGACCUCGAUUUGAGCUAACAUGAAGCUGUGCUGUAUGUAUAACAGCUGUGUACAGGAUGCACUUUAAACAAAGAGAAAUGUGAGCAUAGUGUUGUCCAGAAUGUACCACUGAGUAACCGUUUACACAAAUAAUGGAGCCCAAAAUAUGAACAGAAUGAGAGAGGCCGUGUAUGUGGGUGUACAUGUGUGUCUUUCAUCCACUCUGAGAGGAACAGCUGUUUAAUAAGCUAGAAUAGACUAUGCCGACUGUGUCAAGUCACCAAUCAGCUCAACCAAUCAACUGUUUUUCUCUUCCUAACAGUCAGUCCUCAGGGGCCCCUCUGCUUCCUUGCAUAAAGGGAUGUUCUUUGUUCCUUGAUGUCCUCAUGAUGUUCUGCUCUGUCAGAUUUGUUUAACAAGAAUAGAUGAGAUGAAUUAAAUAAACAGAGAAUGGAUCUAAGGAGAUGUUUCUACUGAAGGGGUCAGGAUGUCUUCUGAAUUUUAAAGAGAAUGAAAAUUCUGUCAUCAUUUAGUCACCCUCAUGUUGUGCCAAACCCAUAUGACUUUCUGUCUUCUGUUGAA